CGGUACGUACUGGUAUUGUUGGUUUCUCCCUUCUGACGAACCAUGAUGUCAUUUAUUUGGUGUUGUGGGGAAUCAGGACUGUUACUUUGAAAAAAUUAGAGUGUUUAAAGCAGGCUCACGCUUGAAUACAUUAGCAUGGAAUAAUGAAAUAGGACGUUUGAUUCUAUUUUGUUGGUUUCUAGGAUCGACGUAAUGAUUAAUAGGGAUAGUUGGGGGCAUUAGUAUUCAAUUGUCAGAGGUGAAAUUCUUGGAUUUAUUGAAGACUAACUACGGCGAAAGCAUUUGCCAAGGAUGUUUUCAUUAAUCAAGAACGAAAGUUAGGGGAUCGAAGACGAUCAGAUACCGUCGUAGUCUUAACCAUAAACUAUGCCGACUAGGGAUCGGAUGAUGUUAAUUUUUUAAUGACUCAUUCGGCGCCUUACG
rnacentral:rRNA from 1 species